GUCUACAGCCAUACCACCCUGAACACACCCGAUCUCGUCUGGUCUCGGAAGUUAUCUCAGCUGUAACUGUGGCAUUACCAGGUUGCCUAUACCCAUUUCCACUGAAUAGCUUAGGCUCAUACUUGUUGCUAUGGAGA
rnacentral:rRNA from 1 species